UACGAAGGGGGCUAGCGUUGUUCGGAAUUACUGGGCGUAAAGCGCACGUAGGCGGAUAUUUAAGUCAGGGGUGAAAUCCCAGAGCUCAACUCUGGAACUGCCUUUGAUACUGGGUAUCUUGAGUAUGGAAGAGGUGAGUGGAAUUCCGAGUGUAGAGGUGAAAUUCGUAGAUAUUCGGAGGAACACCAGUGGCGAAGGCGACUGACUGGACAAGUAUUGACGCUGAGGUGCGAAAGCGUGGGGAGCAAACAGG
rnacentral:rRNA from 1 species